GGAAGUGAUGACCGAGAUGAAAGUACUGAGGCCAUUGUUAAGCAAUCAGUGGACACCAUAGCUAGAGCGUUGAGGGAGAGUGAGGAGUAUAAUAUCAUGUGAAGGGACUUGAUGAUAAAUUUGGAAAAGAUGGAGGGCCUUAGUAUGGUUCAAAGGGUGCUCGUAUUUAGGAGGUUGAAUAAUAAUUCGUCAGAUUUAAAGAGUUUUUACAACCUAAAUAAGGAGAACAAGCUGACUUUUGUGUUUGAUUUUUUGGGACAGUGAAUGCAAAAGUGUUGGAAAAUUAUAUAGUAUGUGUAGAUAAUUAUAG
rnacentral:lncRNA from 1 species